rnacentral:lncRNA from 1 species
GUCUGCCGCCCUGCUGCGGCGGGGCCUGGAGCUGCUGGGGGCGCCGGAGGCCCCCCAGGGCGCCCCGGGCCAGGCCAAGCCGAGCGGGGCUCGGGCCAAGCGGGGCCGGAAGGCGAAGGCGACCCAAGCCCAGAAACUGCGGAACUCGGCCAAGGGGAAGGUGCCCAAGUCCGCGCUCGCUGAGUUCCAGAAGCAAGAGUGUCAAGGCUACCUCGGAGUCAACCUGAAGUUUAUGACCAGCGCAAGAAGUACAGUGGCUGAGUCAGUCACCCAGCAGAUUGUGCGCCAGAACCGGGGCCGCAAGGCCUGUGACCGGCCUGUAGCCAAGAAGAAAAAGAAGAAGGAGGCUGAAGGCACCGUGUUCACCGAGGAAGAUUUCCAGAAGUUCCAGCAGGAAUACUUCGGCAGCUAGGCUUCCAGGAGAACACAGCGGGGAAGGUGCUCAGGCCAUCUCCUCCUCUGGCCUCACAGCCUCUCCUGGCCCCUGGCCCCUGCUAAGCUGCUGGCCUGGCACAAGGAAGCCUUCGGGCCAAAGCCAGGGCAGGGUGGUUAGCAUGGAGCUGGUGAGCUGGAAGCCUUGGGGAGGAUAUGCGCUCAGACCAGAGCUGACAUCUGCAGGCUUGGAAGGAGCCGUCUACCUUCUGGAAAAUAUUUCUGUUUUAUUUGCUUUGGCCCAAGUGAGGCCGGAUGCUAGCCCUCGGGGCCAUACCUCUAGGAGCAGGAGGGCUGCUGGGCAGGCUUCCAGGGCCUAAUAAAUGUGAACCCAAGAGCAGUGUGUGCUGCUAAUCUAUUUUAUGGGGUGUCUCCCAUCUCCGGCACCGGGGGGCCUUUCCCCAUCUCCCAUGAUCCUUUUGCUCUGAGUCGGAUUUCCUCCGGUCCAGCCCCAGAGCAGCUGGUGCCCUGGAGAACACCUCACCCAGCAUCUGCUGAUGGGCCUGAGAGGAGCCCUCCUCCCCUGGAGGUGGCAGCCCCAGCUGACAAGACAGCCCUGGAGACAGACAUAGUAUCUGCGAGGGCUAGGGACUUCGUUCCAGAACAGUCAGCUUGGGGUUCAGGAAGCAGGGGCGUGGCUGGUUUGUGCUCUGGGAGGAGGGGUCAACUCAGGAAGUGACCUCAAGAAGCAGGGCGUCAUACUCUGUGCCCAAGCGGGAAGCUGGGGCUGAGGUUGGGGCUGCACCCCUGUGAGGGCAGGCUGGACCCCUUACAGCAGGCACGUGCCAGGGAUGGGCACAUGUCGAGCGAGAGCAUGAGUGUGUGGAUAUGCUGCCUGGAUGGGUCUUCGGUGUGGAGGAGACCUUCCCCUUCUGCUCUGGGCAGCUCCGUCCAGCUCUGCUCCCCUGUGUGGUCAUGGCGUUGCCUAGCGGAGGACUGCUGAGGGGCCCCUGUGGCCGCUCAGCUGGGAGCCACCAUCUGCCAGCCCCACGCUGGGUCCUUCUGGCCAGCAGGGAGCGGGUUCCACCCCUCACGGCCUGGGGUCCGCUCCUGGUGGUUGACCAGCUCUCCAUCUGAAGCGAGGACCACAGGGGACCUCUGUGUAGGGGCCUCUGUCCAUCCGGGAGGGGAGGGUGCUAUGGUGCCAGCCCUUAGGGACCCGCCUGCCCCACAUGGGCCUGUUCCACGGAAGGGCUCCUGCCUGCUGAGCUCUAACAGCCGCCUUGGGGGGAGAGGCAAACUUGGAUAUCCUCGGAGUGUCCUCCCGUCCACCUCAGCCUCUCAGCAAGAAGCUGGCUCGGCUGCGCAGGAGCCCUUGUGCUCACCCCAACAGGUGUCCCCGCCAGCUGCAGAGUCACAGGCCUGGCUCCGGGCUACUGCCACUUCUCUGCUUGUGGGCUCUCCAGUAGUGCUCAUGUUCCAUUUGUGCCGCCUGGCACCGGUGAGGUGGGUGUCCGUGCUCCCCUCGGGUGACCAAAGUUACGGCUCACUUCUGAGAUCCCGGUCCGGUGGGUGGAGGUAGGACUCUGGGACCUGCUUUUAACCAUCACCCUGGACAGGGGUUCCUGGGUGGCUCUGUCAGUAAGGGUCUGGCUUUGGUUCAGGUUGUGAUCUCCCGGUCCUGGGACCCAGCCCUGCUCAGGUGUGGAGUCUGCUGCUCCCUCUGCCUAUGUCUCUCCCUCUUUCUGUGUGUGCUUUUCAUGAAUAAAUAAACAAA